rnacentral:lncRNA from 1 species
AAUUUUAUGACCUAUCUUACCACGUCUAAAACAGGCACCGGUGUUCCAAUGGCAAUCCUUGUCAGCAUGAGCCUUACCACAUCUAGAACAUUUAUUGAUAUUCACCUGCUUAGGGUUGUCACUCGUUGAUUUCUUGUUUGAACUUCCGGCGUUUUCAUUGCUCUGCCCCUGAAAUUCAUUCGAUCUGUUCCUCUUCUUUUGAUUUCUUUCCCUUUCCAACCGUUCAUCAUUAACUUCCCUUUCAAUUAUUAAAGCCUUAUUUACCACAGCUGCAUAGGUAGUCAAUUCAUAAGGUACCACUUGUUUUCUAAUUUCAGUCUUUAGUCCCAUCUCAAAUUUAUG